AUUUGCAACCAAAUCACCGUCAAUGUUCCCGGUUUCGAGAGAUCUCUUACGCUAAGCUCAGUUGAACCUGGAUAGUAAUUGGAUGGAAGGCUGCCUGGGAAUACAAGGUGUCGUCGGCU
rnacentral:rRNA from 1 species